rnacentral:rRNA from 1 species
CCUACGGGUGGCAGCAGUGGGGAAUAUUGGACAAUGGGCGAAAGCCUGAUCCAGCCAUGCCGCGUGUGUGAAGAAGGCCUUCGGGUUGUAAAGCACUUUCAGUGGGGAAGAAAGCCUUGGGGCUAAUACCCUCGAGGAAGGACAUCACCCACAGAAGAAGCACCGGCUAACUCCGUGCCAGCAGCCGCGGUAAUACGGAGGGUGCGAGCGUUAAUCGGAAUUACUGGGCGUAAAGCGCGCGUAGGCGGUCUGAUAAGCCCGUUGUGAAAGCCCCGGGCUCAACCUGGGAACGGCAUUCGGAACUGGCAGGCUGGAGUGCAGGAGAGGAAGGUGGAAUUCCCGGUGUAGCGGUGAAAUGCGUAGAGAUCGGGAGGAACACCAGUGGCGAAGGCGGCCUUCUGGACUGACACUGACGCUGAGGCGCGAAAGCGUGGGUAGCAAACAGGAUUAGAUACCCGAGUAGUC